rnacentral:lncRNA from 1 species
GUGAGCUCCAUCAUCUUGAACAGAUCAUUCCCAUCUCUCAAAUUGGCAUCUCCUCCAUCUGCAUGUUGGGAUGCUGAUAGUGCCCAUUGCACUGCAAAGAGCCAGGAGGUCUGCACCCCUCAUUUGUCAGCUGUCUCUGCUCACUCCAGGUCUCUGUGGCUGCACCUCAGGCACUUGGGUUGUUGGAUCCACACCAGGAAAGAGCUACUCAGAGAGCACCAAUACCCCCACAGGGGACACCCCCUGCAGAAAUGGCCUUUCCCAGGCCUGGCAAGCUCCCUGCUGGUGUGAGGUUCUCAGGCACUGUGCUCUGGGUUGCUAACUAUGGAGGGACCUCACAAGCCUUUGAAAACAGUGAGAGGACUCGGAGAAGCAAAGUUAAACUCUCCAGGAGCAGAAGACAAAAGGAAAACUGGCAUAAAACCAGAACUUACUCCAUCCGUGUCAUCGAUAUAACUGGAUCAACCGCCCUUCUCCCAUCCAGCCUGGCUUUAUAUCUCUAAGUAAUGGAAAUAAGAGCUGGGAAGCACAGCAAUCUUUGGCCUCAUCACGAUUUCUCCAAGCAGCCUGCCUGAUCUCCAAUGGACAUCUACAAGGCGAGGAGGAGACUAUUUCUAGAUGGAUCACCUUUUGCUUCCCAGAAGUGCCUCCUCAGCCGUUGGCACAGCCCAUCCACCUGUGGCAUCAGACUGUCUUGCACCCUUUCCCAAAGCCAGAGGUGGUGCCAACAGUGCAGCUGCUGAGCCGUUGGAGCAGGCACAUGGUGGUGCCCCCAAGGCCGGUGCCAAUUGUCCCACUGCCACUGCACGGUGCUGUUUGUCUGGCAGAGCUCUGUGGCUGGGCUGUCCCAGUGUGGAUCCCUUAUCCAUGUGGUUGUCAUUAAUUCCAUCACUGCAAACAUCAUCCUGAGGUAUCGGGCUGCAUUGAGCUAUCAAUCUCUGUUUGCCAAUUCCUUUGUAGAGCAAACAGCCCAAAAGGAAAGAGAGGAGAAGAAAAGAGGCAAACAAUUCCUUUUGCCCAUUGGCUUGUGCAAAGCACUCGCUGUAAAAUAGCCCCCACAGCCCCACACUAUGUCCCUCAUGCAGAGGAACGAGUCAGGAAUUCCAUGCUCCAACUGCUACCACUGAACUGUCCCUACAGGUUGGCCGAGGACCGCGGCUUGCUGAGCAGCUGCUUGUUUACCUACCGCCCAUUUCCAUGGCGUGGGAGUGCAGCCACAUUCCUGCGAGCCCCGACUGCUCCCCGCCUCUCCGACCCAUCCGUGUGCCACUGGGGAAGCACAGAGCUGAUGUUUGACAAGAAACGCUGCCAAGGAUGCUCAGCGCUGCGCUGAGCUUGCUGAACCAGCCAGCUCAGCAACAGGGUGUAAACCAUGGCAGGGAUGGGGCUGCGGGUGGAUGGAUGCGACCUUACGCCAUCGUGGGGUCUAAUCUGUCUUUGGGGGCUGAGCUCUGGGGCUGUGCAGCAGGGCUGUCCCAGUGGGAAACUCAGCCAAGGGGCUCAGCUCGGUGCAUCCAGUUCCCCCUCUCUACCGUAAUGCAAAUGCACCUCUUGUGUUCGCUGCACGUUUGUGGCCUCAGCAGAGAGGGGAAAGGCUGUUCCUGCCCAGCUGUGGUGGGAAGCACGUGGCAGCCAGUGUUUUUCCGGGGGAUGCUGCACUUCAAAGGCUCAGAGAUGUGUCCCCAUUGCCUGGGGCUGCAGCGGCCCACGGCUGGGUGGAAGCUGCUGUGUCAGCAGCCAUAGUGGGGAGACGAGCCGUGCUGAGCAAUGGCUUCCAGCUGGGGUCAGCCCCACAGCCUCCACCCAACCUUUGCUCCUCAGAGCAUCCCCCACUGCACAGCGCCCCAGGAACCCACCCAGGACAGCAGCAUUUCUCUCACUCCCUCACCUACAAGCACCCAGUUGUGCCAUUUGGAGAACAUUGCCUCUCCUUUGCCAAGUGUUUUGGGUUUGCUGCAUGGCCCGCUUGCACUGUGCAUUGCACACCAUCCCAAGCCCAAACGCAGCCCCUUGUCUGAGCUGCACCACCAAGAAGUGCCCCCCUAUAGAGGCAGCAUCCCCUUGAGUGAACCUAACAAAUGCAUCAGAGUUUAUCAGGGUGCUGAUGUCACUUUGACUGUUUUUUGCUCUUCCCCUCCGAAGGAGCCACACGUUGUGUAAAAAGAAAAAAUUCCCACCUUAAUGGUGGCUGAAUUAUUUAAAUGGG